rnacentral:rRNA from 1 species
UACGGAGGAUUCGAGCGUUAUCCGGAUUUAUUGGGUUUAAAGGGUGCGUAGGCGGACCAAUAAGUCAGUGGUGAAAUACAUCAGCUUAACUGAUGCACUGCCAUUGAUACUGUUGGACUAGAAUAUAAAUGGUGCAGGCGGAAUGAAUCAUGUAGAGGUGACAUUCAUAGAUAUGAUUCAGAACACCGAUCGCGAAGGCAGCUUGCAAAGAUAUUAUUGACGCUGAUGCACGAAAGCGUGGGUAGCGAAC